rnacentral:lncRNA from 8 species
AUGCAAUGAAACCAGGUUGUAGCUAGAGAUGAUGUGCAGGAGUUUCCAGGGAUUUGUAGUCUUGCAUGAUGUCUACUUAGAUGCUAAAUAACAUUUUGAAAUCUGAGAGUAAAUAGAGCCGAAUAUAUUGAUACAAGUUACCUUGUCUGAGAGACAUUUACAUGGUUAUCAAAACGUCACGCCAGGGUAAGCCUACACGAAACACAGACCUUAUUUUAAAUGUUUCUAAAAUUCCCUAUGGGAAAAAUGAAUGGUGGAAAAACGAUUGGAACCAUUUCCCUGUUUGACUGCUAGGUUUUAUGGGUAUUAUGACACCUUCACUGUGGGGCUCUAUAUCUUGGGUCAUGGGUCACAUGUGUGUAGGCACACAGGUGACCAGGAAGUGGGAAUGAACAGAUGGCUGUGGACUGGGACGUUGAUGUUCUGCAUUGUUAGUCAAGCACCUGUACACGUUGAUAUCCUGAGGCUGUGGAAAGAGCGCCAUCUUUUGGGAACAGGAUGGAACUUGGGUCUAUAUCUCCACCACUACUACUGCAGCUACUGUGACUGGUGGUAGUCUACAGCUGUUGUUUCUCUGGAGCCAUACACAGCACUAGUAAAGGAUGUGGCUCAUCUGCGCUCCCCCUCUUCU